CCCUGUUUGGUGUAGUGGUUAGCGCACUCGGCUGCGGAGCCAGAAGACCCUGGUUCAAUUCCCCCGACCAGAUU